rnacentral:rRNA from 1 species
ACCACAUCUAAGGAAGGCAGCAGGCGCGCAAAUUACCCAAUUCUAACAGCAUAAGAGAGGUAGUGACAAGAAAUAACAGUACAAGGCAGUUAAAAUGCUUUGUAAUUGGAAUGAUAGAAAUUUAAAUACUUUUUAAAGUAUCAAUUGGAGGGCAAGUCUGGUGCCAGCAGCCGCGGUAAUUCCAGCUCCAAUAGCGUAUAUUAAAAUUGUUGCAGUUAAAAAGCUCGUAGUUGAAUUUUUGCUAAAAAUAACCGGUCUGCUUUUAUUAAUAAAAGUGGUAUCUUGGUGUGUUUCUAGCAAUAAUGUCCUUUGAAAUGUUUUUUACUUCAAUGUAAAAAGCAAUUUUCAGGAUUUUUACUUUGAGAAAAUUAGAGUGUUUCAAGCAGACUAACGUUUUGAAUACUGCAGCAUGGAAUAAUAAA